UGGGGAAUAUUGGACAAUGGGCGAAAGCCUGAUCCAGCCAUGCCGCGUGUGUGAAGAAGGUCUUCGGAUUGUAAAGCACUUUAAGUUGGGAGGAAGGGCAGUAAGCGAAUACCUUGCUGUUUUGACGUUACCGACAGAAUAAGCACCGGCUAACUCUGUGCCAGCAGCCGCGGUAAUACAGAGGGUGCAAGCGUUAAUCGGAAUUACUGGUCGUAAAGCGCGCGUAGGUGGUUCGUUAAGUUGAAUGUGAAAGCCCCGGGCUCAACCUGGGAACUGCAUCCAAAACUGGCGAGCUAGAGUAUGGCAGAGGGUGGUGGAAUUUCCUGUGUAGCGGUGAAAUGCGUAGAUAUAGUAAGUAACACCAGUAGCGAAGGCGACCACCUGGGCUCAUACUGACACUGAGGUGCGAAAGCGUGGGGAGCAAACAGG
rnacentral:rRNA from 1 species